AACGUAGGUACCGAGCGUUAUCCGGAUUUACUGGGCGUAAAGCGCGUUCAGGCGGUCUGGCAAGUCGGGCAUGAAAUCUCUCGGCUCAACCGGGAGGGGUUGUCCGAUACUGCUGGGCUUGAGGGCAGUAGAGGGUGGUGGAAUUCCGGGUGUAGUGGUGAAAUGCGUAGAGAUCCGGAGGAACACCAGUGGCGAAGGCGGUCUCUUGGUCCUAUACUGACGCUAAGGCGCGAAAGCGUGGGGAGCAAAC
rnacentral:rRNA from 1 species